UAGACGCCACUGUAUAAAGUCGAGUUCGUGCUUUGGCUCUUAUGAUUUUGCUCUCUCCAUCUCAUUACUUCUCUCGCGCUCGUGAAAAUUUCAUCAAUGAAAUUACAAAACUGCAAAAGCAACAACAAUAACCGGCAUGGCACAAGACCCGUAACAACAAAACAAAACAAGACUUUGAAAAGCUCGCUCCGAGAGUGGAGUUACCAGCGCUCCAUCGAUGUUGAAGUGGAAUGCCCUUACUUUGAUUGAUUUCCGGGUGCAGCAGCAGACGCCGGAGGUUUCGUUUUUCGCACUUGGCGUAGCAAGAACACUUGGAAGCAAAAACAUGAGCAGCGAUCGUGGCAGUGGAGAAAUUUCAGAUGCUUAGCAUAUUCCCCAUUUCGGCCUUGUUGAGACCUUGUCGAUU
rnacentral:sRNA from 1 species